UACGUAGGGUGCAAGCGUUGUCCGGAAUUAUUGGGCGUAAAGCGCGUGUAGGCGGCCAUGCAAGUCGGAUGUGAAAGCCCUCGGCUCAACCGGGGAAGUGCACUCGAAACUGCAAGGCUAGAGUCUCGGAGAGGAUCGUGGAAUUCUCGGUGUAGAGGUGAAAUUCGUAGAUAUCGAGAGGAACACCGGUGGCGAAGGCGGCGAUCUGGACGAUGACUGACGCUGAGACGCGAAAGCGUGGGGAGCAAACAGG
rnacentral:rRNA from 1 species